rnacentral:rRNA from 1 species
GAUGAACGCUGGCGGCGUGCCUAAUACAUGCAAGUCGAGCGAACGGACGAGAAGCUUGCUUUUCUGAUGUUAGCGGCGGACGGGUGAGUAACACGUGGAUAACCUACCUAUAAGACUGGGAUAACUUCGGGAAACCGGAGCUAAUACCGGAUAAUAUUUUGAACCGCAUGGUUCAAAAGUGAAAGACGGUCUUGCUGUCACUUAUAGAUGGAUCCGCGCUGCAUUAGCUAGUUGGUAAGGUAACGGCUUACCAAGGCAACGAUGCAUAGCCGACCUGAGAGGGUGAUCGGCCACACUGGAACUGAGACACGGUCCAGACGCCUACGGGAGGCAGCAGUCGGGAAUCUUCCGCAAUGGGCGAAAGCCUGACGGAGCAACGCCGCGUGAGUGAUGAAGGUCUUCGGAUCGUAAAACUCUGUUAUUAGGGAAGAACAUAUGUGUACGUAACUGUGCACAUCUUGACGGUACCUAAUCAGAAAGCCACGGCUAACUACGUG